rnacentral:rRNA from 1 species
UACGAAGGGGACUAGCGUUGUUCGGAAUUACUGGGCGUAAAGCGCACGUAGGCGGAUUUGUAAGUCAGGGGUGAAAUCCCGGGGCUCAACCUCGGAACUGCCUUUGAUACUGCAAAUCUCGAGUCCGAUAGAGGUGGGUGGAAUUCCUAGUGUAGAGGUGAAAUUCGUAGAUAUUAGGAAGAACACCGGUGGCGAAGGCGGCCCACUGGACCGGUACUGACGCUGAGGUGCGAAAGCGUGGGGAGCAAACAGG